AAAAUGGUUUUUGUUAAAUUGCAGGGCAUUGCAUGAAAAAGAAAAAAGAAGCAAAGGAGGAGUCACUAGGCUGCAAUUCUUUCUCAUUGUGUUCAUUUCAAGCUUUGCCUACUACCUGGUCCCAAACUACUUGUUUCCUUCCAUCAGUACCGUCUCCAUUAUUUGUUUGAUUUGGAAGAACUCAAUCACUGCCCAACAGAUUGGUUCAGGCCUCUAUGGCAUGGGCCUUGGAUCAUUCGGCCUCGACUGGGCCACAGUUGCUAGUUUCUUAGGAAGUCCCUUAGCCACUCCUGGCUUUGCCAUCAUUAAUAUUCUUGUUGGGUUUUUCAUAAUUGUCUAUAUUUUGCUCCCCCUUACCUAUUACAAUAAUGCAUAUGAUGCUAAGAAAUUCCCUAUAUUCUCAUCUCACACCUUCGAUUCAACUGGUCAGCCAUACAAUCUCACCAGAAUUUUGGACCCAAAAACUUUCUCAAUCAACCUAGAUGAAUACAAUGCUUAUAGCAAACUUUAUCUUAGUGUCUUCUUUUCAGUCACAUAUGGGAUUUCUUUUGCAACUCUAGCAGCUGCUGUCUCACAUGUUGCACUCUUCAAUGGAAGGUAAGUCUUCCUUGAAAUUCUUAGCUUUGUCUUCAAUCCAUUUUCUUGACAAUCCUUGUUGACCUCACAUUCUUCUCAUGGUUUUUCUACCAAAAAAAUGGUUUAGUACUAUCUGGCAAAUGUGGAGUAAGACGAGGGCAGCAGCAGGAGAGAAGUUUGGAGACGUGCAUACGAGACUGAUGAAGAAGAACUAUAAAAUAGUCCCCCAAUGGUGGUUUCAUUUAAUUUUGAUUGUAGUGCUUGGUCUUUCACUCCUUGCCUGUGAAGGUUUCGACAAGCAGCUUCAACUACCAUGGUGGGGAAUUUUGCUAUGUUGUGCCUUGGCAUUAUUUUUCACCUUACCCAUCGGGAUAAUAACGGCCACGACAAAUCAGGCAUGGUUGUUUUACAUGGGUUUUGUUUAUUUGUUUUACAUCGUGUGUUGAACUUGAGAAGUUGUAGAACCAGAACACAAUUAAGAAUUGCCAUUCAUUCCUAAAUCAAAGUUGUUAUGCUUAUGCAGCAACCAGGGCUAAAUGUGAUCACAGAGCUGAUUAUUGGGUUCAUGUACCCAGGGAAACCGCUUGCAAAUGUGGUUUUCAAGACCUAUGGCUAUAUCAGCAUGGUGCAGGCACUCACAUUUCUCAGUGAUUUCAAAUUAGGUCACUACAUGAAGAUCCCACCCCGAUCCAUGUUCCUCGUUCAGGUAAAUCAUCCAACCAACAAUAUCUCAGUUUUUGACUAACUUUAAAUUCCUCCCAUUAAAAUGUUUUGGUCUGUGUUCAGUUAGUUGGAACCGUGAUUGCUUCAAGCGUCUACUUUGGGACAGCAUGGUGGCUUCUUACAACCGUGGAGCAUAUAUGCGAUCUGGAUUUGCUACCAGAAGGAAGUCCAUGGACAUGCCCUGGUGAUGACGUUUUCUACAAUGCUUCAGUCAUAUGGGGAGUUAUUGGUCCACUCAGAAUGUUCGGAAGGUUGGGGGUCUACCCAGAGAUGAAUUGGUUUUUCCUUGCGGGCCUUCUUGCCCCUGUUCCAGUAUGGUUCCUUUCACGCAAAUUCCCCAACCAAAAAUGGAUCAGGCUCAUCCACAUGCCCAUUAUCAUAGGAGCUACAGGAAACAUGCCACCAGCUAGAGCUGUGCACUUUGUGAUGUGGGGAAUUGUGGGAGUUUUCUUCAACUUCUAUGUUUACAACAGGUACAGGCAGUGGUGGGCCAAGCACACCUACAUCUUAUCAGCAGCUUUAGAUGCCGGGGUUGCCUUUAUGGGAAUCAUCAUUUUCUUUGCCCUUCAAUCUAAAGAUAUUUUUGGUGUGGACUGGUGGGGUUUGGCAGCAGACGAUCAUUGCCCACUGGCUUCAUGCCCUACAGCACCGGGGGUUGUGGCUGAAGGUUGUCCUACUAUUUGAGAACAAAUUUGUAUUCUUCUUUCUAGGAAUUCAUUUUAGUGGUGUUUAUGGUGUGAAGUUCCAGUAGGAAUAAGACCCUGGAUAUUUUCUUUUCAUUUUCUUAUUUUUCUCUACUUCAACAAGAACAUUUGGAGAUAGGAUAUGGUACCCCACAUAUAUUAUUGAUCUUUUAUGAAUCAUAAAUUUUUUCUACAUUUUUUCUACUUAAUGUUACUCUUAUGGGACAUAAAAAAAUUUCACAUAUCCCUUUAGCCCCAUUUCUUCCAGCAGUUCUUCCCACCCCUGGAAUAUGUGCUCGUCAGGAUGGCUCUCCUCCCCCAGCCACAAACUUAUGGACCACUUACAUCUACUGCCAUUGAACUCCACCCAGUUCAUUUUCUUCACAAACUUCCCACCCUCCUGCUUCUGCUCUCUGCGUAGAUGUUUGAUAACACCACAUAUUAUAAGUGGGUGCGGGUCUAAUUCAAGAAGAUGUUUGAUUGCUUCUUCUGACAUUUCUGACAUAUUUUGUGCACCCUGCAUCCGCCAAGGAGAGCACCUCUCACAAUCCCAUUCGGCUUGAUGAACUCAUGGGCCUCAUGAAGUAGCCCUGCGCUAUUCAGAAGACCAACCACACAACCAUAAUGCUCAAUCUGGGGAAUUAUUCCAUAAUCUCUAGUCAUGCUGACAGAGAACCUGCGCCCCUCAUUUAUCAACCCCCAUGCGGCAACAACCAUGCAAGAAUCCAACGAAAAUGACCCCACUGGGCUCGAUGCAGACCUGGGACAUAUCAGAGAAGAGUCUUAGAGCUACCUCGGCUUCUCCAUGCAUUGCCAGCACUCCAAUCAUGCCUGACCAUGACACAACAGUCCGUUCUUCCAUCUCCUCAAAAACUCUACGUGCUUCCUCCAAGCAUCCACAUUUUGCAUACAUAUCCAUUAGAGUAUUAGAAAUAUAGACAUUUCUCUUAAACCCAUUUCCAUUUAUGUACUCGUGAAUCCCCUUCCCCAAAUCAACUGCACCCAAAUGAGCACAAGCAGCAAGCACAGCCACCACUGUCACCUCAUUACACUUCAGCCCCACCUCUUCCAUCUUUGCAAAAAAGAUGAAUAGGUUCCUUUGCCUUCCCACACUGAACAUAACCUGCAAUCAUAGAUGUUCAUGAACUGACAUUUCUCUCAGGCAUCCGGACAGCAAAUAAAUUGUAUGCCCCUUCAUUACUUUAUCAAUUGGGUUAUCAUUACAUGGAUGAUGUGAUUGAGAUGGAAUAUAAAUAAGGUUACACUUUUCCAUCCUAUCUUAAAAUUUUAGAUAGCAAAAUUCUUUUUAGAAUUAAUAUUUUUAAGUUAGGCAAAAUAAACGCCACCUUAAUCCUUAGCAAUGAUAUGUACCAAAUUUUAUUUAGACACAUUAUCUAUUUUCAUUGCCAUUUAGAGACAAACUAUAUGUUACUAGAAUAUAAUACAGAGUCAUAAUAAAGAGAAAUCAUUAGCAAAUAAAAAUAUAAAUAUCUUAUUGAGAAUAAAAUAAUUAUUUUUGAUUUCCCGAAUAUACUUGGUAUUCCAUUUUCAAAUCGUUAAAAACAUAGUUAUUUAAAAUUCAUUAUAGAAUAGUGGUUGGUAUUUAAAAAAUAAAAAUAAAAAAAUUCAAUAAGAAAAUUCUAGUAAUCCCAAAAUGAAGAACUCUAAAAAAUCACUUACCCCAAUUUCAAUUAAAAUAAAUAACUUUAUUUUUCUUAUUUUUAAGAUUUAAAUUGUGAAUGUUGGUUAAAAAUAAAAUUUAAAAGAAACAAAAUAAAGCAAAUUAAAAACAUUUGCAGAAAUACUAAAUGUAUAGCAUUAGUAAGAAUCUCUUAUACCUAUAGACAUAAUAUUAUAAAAUAAAGAAGUCUCCAAUUAUUAUAGACAUUGGAUUAUAAAACAAAGAAUUGUAGUCUCUAAUUCCUAUAGAAAUUAGGUUAUAAAAUAAAGAAAUGCAUUUUCCCUUUAGAAUAGUAAUUUAUAUGUUUUAAAAAAAUUAAAGAUUUUAUUUCCUAGAGAGUUCUAAUCAUUCUAAAAUUAAGAUUCAGUUAAACUAAAAAUGAGGAAAAAAAACACACUCGAGAAACAACCAACUUCAUUUUUUUAUUAAAAGAUUGAAGUUGUGAAUAGUUAUCUAAAAAAUAAUAUAAAUUAAAAGCAUAAUUAGACAAAUUAAAAGUAUUUACAAAAAUACUAAAAUUAUAAAAUAAGUAGCAAAUUUUAAUUCCAAUAAAUAUUGGAUUAUAAAAUGAAAAAUUAAAGAAAAAAUGUGUACUUGAAUGCUAAACUUACUCACCUCUCAAAUUUACCAACUACCUUAAAUUUCAAUAUUCUCUCAACUCACAUCCAACAAACUCUUUGAAGAAUUAGGUGGUGUUUGUUUUUUUACUUAAUUCUAAAUAGAACCUUAAUGCUUAAAAGUAUUAAAUAUUAUGUUGUUUGUUUUUGUAGUAUUUUAUUUCUAUUAAGUAUUAAAAAGUAAAAAAAACCAAUAUGUUAUUUUUUCUAUUUAGAAAAAGCUACAUAUUUUGGUUUUUUCUAUUUAGUAAAAAGUUUAUAAUAAGUCAUGAAAAAGUAGAAAAACAAACAACUUAAAUUCUAAAACUAAAUUGUUUUCAGCAAAAAGCCAAAAAAAUAAACAUCACUUUAGUAUUGUUCUAAAAAGCUCAAAAUCAUAUAAAUAAAAUUCAAUAAAGUAAUAUAAUUAUACUCCACACAUGAGUAACAUAAACAUUUAAGCAAAAUCAUUAAGAACACUAAACAAUAACUUACCAAAUAGUACUUUAUUGGAAUUGGGAGUACUGAUUUACAAAAACCUCUUAAUUCUCUUCAAAUAAUAAUGAUAAAAAAAGGUUAUGUUUAGAGAUGAAAAGUGAAAUGAUCAUCAUAAUAAAUUUGAAGAGUGAAAUAAUUCUUAAUUGUUAAUUAGAUGAUAUAUUAAUUAUAAGUUUUUUAUAAUGUUAGAGGGUGAUUUUAAAGAGAAUUAAAUUUUAAUAUCAUUAAUAUUAAUAGGUUGUAGUAAUAGAAUAAAUUUUGUAACAUUAAGUAUUAAUAGGUUGUAAUUAAAACUCCAUUUGGAAUUGUAAUUUACAUUAAAAUAAACAAAGUGUAGACCCCUCUAAACUAAAAAAACAUAUAGUUUUUCUUUGGUUUUGGGACCACCCGGGAGAGGGGAAUUUUCUUUUUCUUUUUUUUUUUUCUCCUUUUUAUUUUUUUUAUUUUUUUAUUUUUUUAUUUAAUAAAGAAUGGGGGGGACACCUCCCAUGAAACCAGCUGCAUUGGACAUGUAGCAAAGAGGAUGGCUGGCCAUGGUGGUGGUUGAAGAUGGGAACUUGCGUAAUGGUGCACAGUGGAGCAAGUGGUGGCUUGCGGGAGAAGAUGGAAACAGAGAAGAGAUAUUUGGAGGUUUUAGCUUGAGGGGGAAAGAGGUCGGGUGAAGAGAGAGAGUUGCAGAGGGUAAGGUGAGGGGGUACUCUAUAGCUGGACGGUGCAAGAAACUAGGUAAAGAAGGAGAUUAUUCUCAGGUAUGAUACUGUAGACCCUCUAUUUUUAUUCAUCAUCCCCAAGCUUCCAUUUCUUCCUAGCUAUUCCUAGUUAUUACUUCCUGUAUUUGUAUGUGAAGAGCUAGUCACUUAUAUAUCUUUGGCUGAGAACUAACCUGUUGGUGAACUCUGAUAUUGUUGAUUCAUGUUUUGUUUAUGCUAUUAUGCUUAUGUACUGCUCUGCUUUGCCGGGAUUUUUGCUGAAAAUUUUGCCAUUGUUAACAUUGCCCUUAAAAUCUAUUUCGAUGUCUCACUUGGCUUGCAAGCUUAAUGUUGGUUGUUUCGGAUCACUUGUCUUUCUUUUUCUUUGUGUGAGCUCCCCUGUUCUGGUCUCUUUUCCCUCAUUCCUUGGAGCUUGUUGCAACUAUAUGUCCUUGGAGCCUUUUGUUCUAAGCUGCCGCCGCCUGAGAAGCUUUCAGAUGCCCCCAUAUCUGAAUAUUAGAUGUCUGCAACCCUUCAUCUUGAAGUUUUACUUCUCGGAAUGAGUAUAUCGGAAGCUUGCUGAAACUUGGGAUGUAAAGAGGGUUUGACAGUCGGAUGUCAACUCAUAGCCAUUGAUAAUGCUGCUAUUGCUUUUAAUAUUGGUUAGGUUGCUGUAUGUAGUAGCAGUAUAGAAGGAAAAAUAAUGCAGCUAGGUUGUCCUCUAGACUGAGAUCCUAUCGUUGUUGGGAAUGGAAGACCAUUGUCAUCAAGCGGUCCAAAAUCAGCGUCAAAUAGACCUGCAACGCCCAUUGGAUGGCCCAUUUUGUGAGCAACAUCAGAGUCCUCAAGACCUUCUCCAUUUAUUUCAUGAGCCAAAUGGUUUUUUGCAAAGCACACAGCUCCCUUUGUUCGAUCUUCCUCAGUGGUAAAGUCAGGCCUCAUAGCAUCAAAAAGCAUAGUGUCAUCACGUGGCCUUUUCUCUUAUUGCGAAGUCCAACCCACGGAAACUUCCCUCAAAACCUUUGCAAAACCUGUGACACAUCAUAUCCAUCAUCAUCCUCAUAUUUUAUUCUUCAUACCCAUUCUCAUUCCCAUAUCCACCACGUACAUGCACUUUUGUUCAUCACUUCACCACCUCUCACCAUUCAAAUUCAUUUUCCAUAUCCAUACCUGCCAUCCAUUUCUUCUUAUGCUCCUCAUACCUACACCAUACUCACUUCCAUUCCUUACUCAUCUUAAUAUCCAUUAAACACAUUUGACUCACCCGUCCACUAACCCCAUACGUACACUCUCUUACCAUUUUCAUGCACACCGGUUCUUAUUCUUCAUACACACUUGUUAGAAAUUUGAGGCUAAUCCAACCUAUGGUAAUCACUCUAGAGGAAGGGUGAAUAAGGUGAUGGUCUUUUUUCGCAAAUUUAAACAAGUGAAUACAAGAGACGCUUAUAUACAAGUAUAUAAUAAUCAAUAUAUAGACAAUUGCAUAUAAAUUAAAGAGUAGGGAAGAGAGAAUACAAACACAAGAGUUUAUAGUGGUUCGGCGCAACCCGGCCUACAUCCACUCUCCUUUAGCUUCAAUCCCGAGCUUGAGGUUCCACUAAUCCAAGGCUUCCAAACCAAGCCUUCAAGCAAUACAAUUGGAUUAUGGUUCCAAUUCACCCUCUUGGACUUUUGGCUCCAAGCACCCUUUACACUUCUCAAGAGAUAUCCCUCUCUUAAACAACCCCUCAAGUGAUACCCCACACUUGAGAAACUUCCUUUCAAAGGUUUACAAAUAUAAUAAUCUCUCAAAAAUCCUAGCAUAAGAACUUUAAGCUCAAAUGAUACAAGAAAAGCUAGGAUUGAAUGGUGCACUAAAGAUAUGCAAGUUUUGAAAUAAUGGUGCACUAAAAAAUACUCUUCCAAGGCUCAAAUAUAAUCAAGAAAUAUUUGGAAAGGUUAAGCUCAUGAAACAAUGCAGUUUGGAGCUUUUUUAUAGAAGAAAAAAGUCAAACUAGCCGUUGGAGGUUCGUCCGGUCGAGCUAGGGGUCGACCGGUUGACUAGUCGUUAGCAUUUAAUACUUGGUAGGUGACUAUUAGGCCUCAACCGGACCUCAACCGGACCUCGAUCGGACCUCAACCGGUUGAGGUUCAACCUUGAUCGGGAAGAGAAUGCCACUAGGAGAGAGAGAAACUUUUUGGCCUCCCUUAACCGGUCCUCGACCGGACAAGCACAACCGGUCGACCGGUUGAACCGGUUGAGCCAUUUUUUGGCUCAACACCCAACAUUUUUCAACUUAAAACCUUUUAAUACAAGUUUGAAAAUCAUUUAACACAAGGUUUUAGUUGAAAACAUGAAAUCAUCCCAUUCUUAAGAUAUUUAAAACAAUAUUACUCUUGAAUGAUUUUGGUGCAUAAAUAAAGAAUGAAAUGUAUGAAAGUCCUAGUGCACCAACAACCUUACAAAGAGAUCUUAUGAAGCUUGGAUCUUGAAAAACUCUUCUCUUUGAGGUGGUCUUCUUCUUCAUGAUUUCUCCUUGGCAUGAUUGUCUUUGUGAUUGCCACUUUAGAAAUCGUCUUGUCUAAUCACACUUGAAAUAUGAUCAUUAGUUUUAAACCUUGUUUUGUUAUCAUCAAAAUCAAGAUUAACCAAACCUUGGUUUCACAACAUUGAUUUGUGCCCAGCUGGUGUAUGUCCUGUUGAUUGGUCUUCAAUCAACUGGUAUACCUUGAUUUCGGUCCUCAGACUAGAGUAAUCAACAAAAUUUAUAAACCUAUUUCACCAUGUACUAAGAUAGUCUUAGCUAGCAUAGCAUAGUGGCUCUAGGAUCGUUCACUGGGAUAGGUUUUCAAAUUACAACUGAUAUUAAUUCAAAACUGAAUUGGUGUUUUUUAUUUUCAAGGUUAGCAUUAAAAGAAAACAUAAAGAUGUUUGAAAAUGUUGGCUUUUAGGUGAAACCAAAAAUAAAGGAAAUUACUUACAAAGAAAAGUGUUUCUUGGAGUUUUUGGAUCAUUGGGCUCAGGUUCCUAUUACAAAAAGAGAGUUCUGGUCACUUGAAUAUUUUCCUCGCAUUGGGGAUUUAACAUAUAAUUAUUUCCUGAACCGGUGCGGUACAGAUGCUUCCCUUUUAUGGAUUCAAACACUAAUUCCCUAUAACUAAAUCAUUUUGCAAUGGUUCAUACCUCUCACCUAGCAUUGGUCAUUCAAGGUGAUUCUUAACCUUGAAUUACCCAUCAAAAGUUCGCAAGAGAUAACUAAUGGAUGCCUCCUUGGAGUCCAAAAGCUUACCAAGUGUUGACUAUUCUAGAAAAUACUACCUAUAAACCACCUUCCAAAGGCUCGCAAGAGAUAAACUAGUGUAACUCAAUGGACGAAGUCCACUUGCCUUACCAAGUGUUGGCCCAGGUGAUUUUAAGACAUUUUAAGUUAACUAAAAACAUAAAAACCAUUAACGGGUCACACUUCCUUUUCAUUAAAAGCUGAAACAACAAAACUUCCAAAUUUUGCAUUCUGAACCUUACCCAGCUUCCUUCACUCCAAGAAAUAAAAAGCCUAGCCACUCAUCCUCUAAGGAAACAUCCUCAGAGUUUGUUUGGCUAGCGAUAAAAAUACAAUCAAAAUGAGUAAGUAAGACAGAGCAAAGCUCUGUGUAUUACUUUCUUCAAAACUAUACAAAAGUUGGUCUUUGAGAAAAAACUCCCGAGAUGUUCUUAAAGAAAAAUUACAACUAAUAUAUAUAAAGGUUAUUCACCCUUCCUUCUUACUUUCUAACUAAGGAAUCCUAUGAUUGGUGGAUUACAAGGAAAAAAUAGGGAUUUAAACAACAAAUAUCUGAAGAAAAAAAUCUAAAAGAGUCGGUCACAAAUAUCCGGGAAUACAUAGGUGGAUUUCGCAAGUUGAAACAUGACUUGCGAAAAUUUCGCAAGUUGAAACAUGACUUGCGAAAAUUUCGCAAGUUGAAAGUGUCAAUUUCGCAAGUUGACUUUUGUGAUUUCGCAGCUUGCGAAAUUGUCUUUCAACUUGGCAUGGUUGUCUUCCAAUGGUCAUAACUUCUUCAUUUCAACUCCGAUUUGCACACUAUUUGAAGCGUUGGACUCCUGACUUCCCGAGCUUCGAAAUGAUAUAUAGUAUGCAUAAAAUGGACUCCAGAAAUUGCUCGAAAUGUGUCCUAAAUAUGCUGUCCUCUUGGAUUUCUUCAUGUUAGAUUCAUCUCUCUGUUUUUCCUCCUUGCAUUCUUGAUUUGCUUUUGGCAAAGGACUACAAAGCUCCAAAGCUUGGAGUCUUCCUGUAAAUGAGCUUCCAUUUGCUUUGCCAUGGAUUAUACAGAGCUCUCCCUCAUCUUAGAUUGCUUUGGUGAUCAAAAAGCUAUCAAAAACACCAAAACUUAACACAAUUUGAUUAGAAACGAAUGCAAGAGUCCUUAACAUGUCAAUUGAGUUAAAAGGUAAUAACUACUACUCAAAAGUGUUUAAAAGAGUUAAUUACAAACUAUAAAAUAACACUUUUUGAGUAGUAAUCACACACAAAAUCGGUUCACCACGUCACAGUCACCUUCUUCAGCUCAUUUCCACCCCAUUCCAUGCAAACCCAUUCCCGUCCAUGCAAGCCCAUUCCCAUUCCCAUGCAAACCCAUUCUCAUUCCCAUGCACGUACCCCUCACUUCAACUCACUUCCACUCACAUCCCUCAUACCCAUUUCUCUCUCUAAACUCUCAUCCAUGCAAACCCAUUCCUGUCCAUGCAAGCCCAUUCCCAUUCCCAUUCCCAUGCAAACCCAUUCUCAUUUCCCAUGCACGUACCCCUCACUUCCACUCACAUCCCUCAUACACAUUUCUUUCUCUAAACUCUCAUCCAUCCAAACCCAUCCCGUUCUUAGCCACCGCCAAACACAUUUUCGUUCACCCUCAUCGCGAAACCCAUUUCUGCUUGCCAAUGCGGGAUUUCUCCAUUUUUCCUCAAUGAUCUAAGGUCUCGUUUUGGUAUCAUUCCUCAAGAACGGUUCUUUUCGAAGGAGCUAUGAGAAAUAACAUUGCAGUGGACCAUAAUGGAGAUAGCUGGAGUUGGGAGCAGAGGCAGCUUCUUUGCAUGGCAGGCAUGAAAUUGUUUAAACAAUUGGUGAAUGAAAGUCAAAGGCAUGAAUUUUUUAUUUCAUUAGUGGCAUGGGUCUAGUGGCCUCAAAAUGAUUUAUUGUUAGUUUUUUUUCUUUCUCUCACGUGCCAUCUUCUUAAUUCCACUUUUCAUGUUAAAAUUUUCAUUUUUUGAAAAUUUUGUUAUCAAAUAAUUCUUCUAAAAUCCCAACAUUUCAAAUUCAUUCAUUUAUUCAUUCAUUUUAUAUAUUUUUAUUUAUCUAUUUAUUUAUUUAUUUAUUUAAAAUAUAUAUAUAUAUAUACCCUUUUCAAAAUAAUCUUGUAAAAUUCAAUUUUUAAAUUUAGUUUACGAAACUUCAGACCUUAAAUUCAAUCUUCCAAAAACUUCAAUAUUUUAAAUUUAAUUCUUCAAAAUUUGAUUCUCGAAAUAAUUUUUUAAAACUCUAACUUUAAAUUAAUUUUCCAAAAUUCAAAAUUUUAAUUUAAACAUUCCAAAAAUUCCACAAUUUUGAAAAAGUCAAAGGCAUGAGUUUUUUUUUUUCAUUAGUGGCAUGGGUCUGGCCUCAAGGUGAUUUAUUAUUAGUUUUUUUUCUUUUCUCUCACGUGCCAUCUUCUUAAUUCCAUUUUUCAUGUUAAAAGUUUCAUUUUUAAAAAAAAUUAUGUUAUCAAAUAAUUCUUAUAAAAUCCCAACGUUUCAAAUUCAUUCAUUUCAUUUAUUUUAUUCAUUUAUUUUUAUUUAUUUAUUUAUUAUUUUAUUUAAGAAUAUAUAUAGAUAUAUACACAUACCCUUUUCACAAUAAUCUCAUAAAGUUCGAUUUUUAAAUUUAGUUUAUGAAACUUCAGAUCUUAAAUUCAAUUUUCCAAAACAUCAAUAUUUUAAAUUUAAUUCUUCAAAAUUCAAUUCUCGAAAUAAUUUUCUAAAACUCUAACUUUAAAUCUAAUUUUUCAAAAUUCAAAAUUUUAAUUUAAUAUUCCAAAAAUUCCACAAUUCCAAAUUUAAUUCCCAAUUUCUGAAAUUUCAAUUUACCAAUUCCUGAAUUUAAUUUCCAAUUUCCGAAAUUUCAAUUUUCACAUUUAUUUUUUAUUUAUUAUUAUUACUAUUAUUAUUUUGUUUAUUUUUUUCCAUCUUCAAAUAAUUUCCAAGAUUCCAAUUUUCGUAAUUUAAUUUUCAUAACUCCAAUUCUCGAAUAAUUUGCUAAUUUCUUUCAAAUUUAAUUUCUAAAGUUCCAAUUCCUUAAUAUAAUUUUCAAAACUCUAAUUCUCAAAUAAUUUUAAAAAUUCCAAUUUCUUUCAAAUUUAAUUUCCAAAAUUCCAAUUCUUAAAUUUAAUUCCCAAGACCCCAAUUUUCAAAUAAUUUUCGAGGCUCCAAUUUUCAAAUAAAUUCCAAAAAUCCGGUUUUCUCUCGAAACAAUUUUAAUUCCACUCCAGUUUUCAAAUAAUCUUUUCUUUUGAUUUUUCGUAAGUAAGAAUGGAUUUUUCAUAAUUCCGAAAUAAUGAAAUUUGUGAGACCAAUGCAUGCAAGAUAAAUUGGGCUUUGGUGGGGGUCCCUACAUAUGAGAUUUCUCUUCUGAUUGUUAAUGGCUAUGCCUAAUGGAUUUUUUUUUUUUUUUUUUGAUUUUUGUUCUGAUCUUUGACAUGCAUGCGAUAUAUUUUGUAUUUGUUAUUGCGCACUAACCCUGUUUCAUGAUAGCGCUUUAUUACCUGCUGCCAAGGUACGCUUUCGCUCUCACUUCGUUCAUUUAUUCAUUAUCAUGACUUGCUUCUAAUUUGUGAUCACUUUUGUAUCCAUUGAUUUCCUUGCCAAUCGCCAUGCUUGCUUUAUUUUAUUAGUAGAGACCCGACUUUAGGGACUUAGAGGGGUGCUACGGUAUUUACCGUACCUUCCCAAUAAGUAACCUAACUCCCAAACUUGAUCCGAUUUUUCACAUACCACAUUUUCCAAAAAUAAAGAGUCGCACUUAGGGUUUUCUUUCUUAUUUUGUUUGCCUUUUAAAAAUAAAACAAAAAUAAGUGGCGACUCUAAGUCAUUUUCUUAAUAAAUAAAAAUCAUUUUCAAAUAAAAUCGAGUUCGCCAUCGAGUGGAAAACGCAUGAGCCGAAAUACGAGGUCCACACAAAGAUUCUAAAGAAAUUCUAGUUAUCUCAAAAUGAAGAUUCAACUAAAUUAAAAAUGAAAAGAAAAAAAAAUAAAACUUCUUAAGAAACACUUACCUCAAUUUUCAUUGAAAUAACCAACUUCAUUUUCUUUUUAGUAAAACCUUCAAGUUAUAAAUACUAGUAAAAAAAAAUAAUACAAUUAGACAAAUUAAAAGUAUUUACAAAAAUAUUAAAUUUAUAGAAUAAGUAAAAAAAAAAAAUUAUUCCAAUAAACAUUGGAUUAUAAAAUAAAAAUUUAUGAUUCAUAAAAAAAAAAUGUACACUUGAAUACUAAAUUGGAUUAGCUCUCAAAUUUACCAAACACCUUGGAUUCCAAUCUUUCCCUAAUAAACAUGUAAGUAAAAUCAUCAACAACACUAAAUUGUGACAAUUUCACUAGAAAUUAUGACAACAAACGUGUCUCUCCUAUGCAUGUGAAAAUACAACCACAGCUCCCAAAACCACUGCACAAACUACAAGUUUUUUUUUAGGAACACAUUUUUUCACCACCACUGUCAUUCUCAACUUCACCCAAAAUAUUGCAUUUCACUUAAACUCUCUCCCAUUCCAAACAUAACACUUUCAUUGAUCCAAACCUUCUAGAACCAUGACCAUAACUCCAAAAACAGUCUUGAUUUGGCUACCAUUUAUGGUGAAGUAGAACGUUACAAUGACAAUUUUGCAUAGAAAUCUAAGAGUUUGAAGAAGAAGUUAUCCAUGGAGAGAAGAAAAAGAUAGAAAAAUGUUAUGUAGGCAAUGGAAAAAAAAAUGAGGCUUAGGCCAUUCUCAAGAGUCAAUGAAUAUUAUGGGUUUUAAAGAGAAUAAUAACAUAUAUAACAUCAAUUGAUAUUAAUAGGUUAUGAUAAUAGAAUAAAUUUUGCAACAUUAGAUUAUAUAUUAAUAUAUUGUAAUAAAUAAAUUGAUUAGGAGUAUUUUUGGAUGGUGAUUUUGCAAGGAAAUCCAAGAACUUGAAGAAGAAGCUAUCGUAGCCAUAAAGGAGAAAAAGAUAGAAAAAGGUUAUGUAGGCAUUGAAAAAAUGGGGCUUUGGUCAUCCUCAAUAAUCAAUUAGUAUCAUGGGUUUUAAGGAGAAUAACAUCAAUUGAUAUUAAUAGGUUAUAAUAAUACAAUAAAUUUUGUAGCUUAGAUUAAAUAUUAAUUGAUUAUAAUAAAUAAAUUAUAAGGGGUAUUUUUGGAAUUAAGGCAAGUUGUCCAUUUUCAAAAUGAAAAAAUCUAACAAACACCUCACACUUUUUAUAGUAGUAUAGAUUAUCUUCAAGAUCCAUCCUAGGAGAACACAUUAUAUGCAUUAUCUUCUAGAUCUAUUCUAGGAGAUAUUCUCAUUUCUCUGUUAAUAAAUAAAUUCAUAGAAUACUUCAAUUCCUAUAUGUAGGAAAAAAAAUUUUAAAAAAAAGAAAAAAGAAACAAAAGAUCCAUUCCUCAAUUCUUUGUAAAUAAAUAAAUGAAAAAAGUGAGUUUUAACUCACAAAUAUUAAAAUAUAUGAAAAAAAGAAUUCCAAUGUUUUAAAAUCAAUAUUAUCUUGGUUUAUUUAAAAAUAAUUCGAAAUACAUACAUUCUUUAAUGAGUCAUAUAAUUAUUCCUUAAAAUGCCCAUUUUCUUGUGAUGUCAUCUAGAACAAUUGACAACUAGACUCCUCCACAUAAAUGUUUCAUUUCCUUUUAAAUAUGUUAUUAUUAUUAUUAUUAUUAUUAUUAUUAUUAUUAUUAUGUUACAAAAUAUGAGAUUGUGUACCACUAUGGUCCAUAAAUGUCUUUUGUAACUCCCUAUAAAAGGGAGAGACCCCUAAUGAAAUUCAAUAGAGUUUUUCUAUGCAUUCUAUUCUCUUCCUACAUUCUAAUUUCUCUUUCUUGUUUUCUUCUCCUUUCACUUUAUAAUUUUACAACACGUUAUCAGCACGACUAAUCUCUAUAAAAGAAAUAGAAAUAUUUUUCUCUAUUCAGAGAAAUAGAAAGGUGUUCUCCUUUUCAGAGAAAUAGAAAGACUCUUUUAUCUUCUUUCUUACAAAAAGGUAUGUGAUAAACUUAUAUCAUGAUUUUCUACUUUAUUACCUUUGACUCUCUAUUUUUACUUAUUUUAUUUGAAUGCAUAAAUAAGUACAAUCCCUAUAACCAGAAGUUAUGGGAUAAAUUAUAAAUUAUAGAGUAAAUUCAUAAUCAGAAGUUAUGAAAAUAUGUACAAUCCCUAUAACCAGAAGUUAUGAGAUAAAUUAUAAAUUAUAGAGUAAAUUCAUAACCAGAAGUUAUGAAAAUAUGUACAAUCCCUAUAAGCAGAAGUUAUAGGAUAAAUUAUAAAUUAUAGGAUAAAUUCAUAACUAGAAGUUGUGAAAAAUAUGUGCAAUCCCUGUAAUCAAAAGUUAUGAAAAAUAUGUACAAUUCUUAUAACUAGAAGUUAUGGGAUAAAUUAUAAAUUAUGAGAUAAAUUCAUAACUAGAAGUAAUGAAAAAAAUAUGUACAAUUUAUAUAACCAGAAAUUAUGGGGAAAAUUACAGAAUUACAAAUACAUGACCAGAUGUUAUGUAUAUGAUCCCCAAUUAUUUAUUUUUAAUUAUAAGGUAUAACUGGAAGUUAUACCAAACAAUAUUAUAGCCAAAAGCUAUGAAAUAAAUAAAUGUUCAUAACCUGAAGUUAUGCACAAAUCUACCCAAUGAAUAGUUCAUAGUCUGAAGCUAUACACAAAUUUAUAUAAAAAAACAGUUCAUAGCCUGAAGUUAUGUACAAAUUUAAAUAUUUUCUUAUUCUGACAAAAUAAUCAUGGCCUGAAACUAUGAAAGAUAUUAACUUUUAAUUUCUUUAAUUUCUUUUAAUUAUAUUGUGUAACUAGAAGUUAUACAUAAAUAGUUCAUAGUCUGAAGCUAUGUACAAAUUUGCGUAUUUUCUUGUUUCAACAAAAUCAUCAUAAUUCAAAGUUAUGAAAAAUAUUGACUUUUAAUUUUUAUUUUGUACACACUUAUUUUUCACAACAGAAAUUAUGGAAAAGAAUUUUUAUUAACAAUAAUUUCAUAGCUAGAAGCUAUGCAUACAAUUUAUAAUUCUCUUGUAUAACUAGAAGUUAUUCAAAACAAAAUUGUCAAUGAAUCUUAGAGUUAUGAUCAAAGAAGGAAAUCAAGCAUCCCUACAGGAUUGCGCAAAAACAUUGAUUUUCCUUCGUUAUCAUCUCCAUGAAGGUUUAACAAAAAAUGAGCUUUUGAUGAGAAAUCACUAGUCUCGUCCAACUAGAUCUGAAUCAUUUCCUGAAGUGAAUGCAAUAUUGCCCCACACUCAUGGACGAUGACGAGGACGUGGUUGUGGUCGUGGUCAUGGAAGAAAUCCCCAAUACCAUGGUUCUUAUAUAAAUAAUUUACCAAAUUCUCAGAAAAUGAAAGCCUUAUUGCACCACCAGAAGUGGAAUAAUAUUGAGGUAAAAUAAGAAAAUGGGAAGUGUUUACAAGACAAACCUCCUAAGAACCAUGAGAAUAAGUGUUAUAGAUGUGGUAUGAAGGGGCAUUGGUCGCGUACUUGUCGUACGCUCAAACAUUUGGUCGACCUUUACCAAACAUCAAUAAAAUAAAAGGAAAUUGAAAUGAACAACUAUGUACCUAGAAGAUACAUAAUUUUUUUAAUUUUGUUAUAUAACCAAAAGUUAUAUAAAUAUUAUUAUUCAUAACCCGAAGUUAUGAAAGUAAGAAAAUUAAUAUUCUUUGUGCUAAUCAAAGAUUAUGCCAAAGUUGUUAAUAUGUACUUUCUUAUAGCUAGAAGCUAUAGAGAACGAAAUUGUUAACUAACAAUUUUGUACAACUUUAUGAAAUUUAUAUAACCAAAAGUUAUAAUAAAAUAUAUUAUAACCUGAAGCUAUGAUAACAAGCAUAUAGAUAAUAUUUACAUAUUAUCAAAGGAUUAAUAUUUUUGUAUAUCAAGUUAUACAAAUAGGUAAGUGUUUGAUAGUUUUUAUAAAUUUGUAUUAUUAGAAGUUAUACUGUCAUUAGUAGAAAAAUUUACAUAUAUUAUUGCAUGUUGCCAUAUACGGUAUUUUUAUUAAUGCAAUAAUUUCAUUAUCAAAAAUAAUUUUGAAAUUACAAUAGGUUCAACUAUUGUUCUCAAUAUAUUAUGUUAUAUCUUUACAUAUAUGUUUAGAUGAAUUUGUAGUAUUUCAAUUAAAGUUUUGAGACAACAAGAUGUUUUAAAUCAUGAUAUGUUCUUUUGAAAUUUUGAUUUAUGAAUUAAUUUUUGCACAUUGAUUUAGAUCAUAAUAAUAUUUUGAAUAAAAUUAUUGAUCUAUUACUACAAUUAGUUUGGUUAAUGAAAUACUUCCUUGUUAUUUCAUAUAUAAAUUGCUCCACACUUACAAAAUCAAAUGUGAGAUUAUUUAAGAAAUAUAUAGUUUUAAAUUAUAUUUUCAUAUUUGUUUUAUUGUGUUAUAUAUGCUCUCAUUGCUUUUGCACAACUUAUUAAGUUAAGUUAUCAUCGAUGACUAAUAUUUUUCCAUUGAUUUUAACUCUUUCUCUAUGAUAAUAUUUAUUCAACUCUAUAAAGACGAAGCCUUUAUGACAAUGUUUUAUGACUUGUUACUUUGAUGAAACUCUUGUCUCAUUAAUUGCACAACAUUGAUGACAAACAAUGGUAAUACUAUAUCAGGUGAUAGAAACUUGAUUAAAGGCUCCAGAAGAGCUUAUACUAUGUCACUAGUAGUAUUUGAUUCCAUGUGAAUGACACUUUAUAUGAUGAUAUGUCUAGAAGAAUCUUUAAACACCAACUUGGUCCCCCGGGGUAAAAAGUCAUAUGGAUGUACAUUACAAAACCAAAAGUUUUUAAUUAGUGACUAGUCUACCUAUACACUUAAAAAGGUAGAAUGACAUGUUGUUCAGAUUAUCAUUUUAAUGAGACAAUUUUCUCGCCAUUAAGGGGAGAAUAGCUAGUUCCAAAAGAACGACGUGAAAUUAUUUGGAAUGGAUUGACUUUGACUCAUCUUGAUCCUCAUACAAAUCAAUGUGAACUAGAAGUUCAAAGGAUCAUUCAUUUGCAAUAUCUUGCAAAUCAACUACAAGAUGCAUUCAUACAAAGAAAGUGACAAAGUUAUAUAUCUCUGCUGCAAAUACUCCAGCACGAAUUGAUGUCCUUAUAAGACAAUUAACAAAUGAAUCUAAGAUACGCCUGAAGCGUGGUAGACCUAUCGGCUCAAAUGAUGUAACUCCCUAGAAGAAGAGAACCCAAUAAAAACUUAGCACUUUAAAGGAGACCAUCAAAGUGACUGAUCAAUUUAAAGUUGAAAAAUCUAUAGCCCUAGAAGAGUCACAAAUAAUGCAAAAGGCCCUGAAGAGGCACAUAUUGAACAAGAAGCCCCUAAAGAGGCACAUAUUGAGCAAGAAGCCCUUGAAGAGGAACAUAUUAAACAUAUAUGGAUAAAACGCAUCCUUUAAGUUCUUCAAUGGUUGUUCAAUCACUUAAUGAAAAAUGACCCAUUUUGUCAUUGUGAAAAAUGAUGAAGAAUUACUUGGUCAUGAAGUACCAUAUCUUAGUACUAUUGGUGCACUUAUAUAUCUUGCCAUUGUAUACGUCUAAACAUUGUUUUUUCUGUCAAUUUAUUAGCAAGAUAUAGUUCCGCUCCAACUCGAAGACAUUGGAAUGGUAUCAAACACAUAUUGUGUUAUCUUCGCUGAACUAUUGAUAUGAGUUUAUUUUACUCAAGUGAAUCAAAGCAACAAUUGCUUGGAUAUGCAGAUGCAGAAUAUCUUUUAGAUUCAUAUAAAGGUAAGUCACAAACAUGGUAUGUGUUUAUUUACAAUGGUACUACUAUCUCAUGGAGAUCUAUCAAACAAACAAUGGUGGCCACAUCAUCAAAUCAUUUAGAAAUUCUUACAAUUCAUGAAGCAAGUCGUGAAUGUGUAUGACUAAGGUCAAUGAUCCAACAUAUUCAAGAAACAUGUGGACUACCUUCCAUCAGAGGCAAUGCAACCAAGUUACAUGAAGAUAAUGUUGCUUGUAUUGCGCAAAUUAAAGGAAGAUUCAUAAAAUGUGACAGAACUAAGCAUAUCUCCCUAAAUUCUUCUAUACUCAUGAGCUCCGAAAAAAAUGUGAGAUCGAUGUUUAGCAGAUUCGAUCAUGCAAUAAUCUAGCAGAUCUAUUCACAAAGGCAUUACCUUCAACCACAUUGAAAAAGUUAAGGUAUGACUUUAGAAUACGAAGAUUGAGAGAUCUACCAUUUGAAAUGUUGAAGAAAUCAUAAUCAUGUUUACAUGAGGGGGAGAUUGAUAAUAUGGAUAUACUGCACUAUUUUUUCCUUCGUCGAGGUUUUGUCCCAUUGGGUUUUAUUGGCAAGGUUUUUAACGAGGCAAUUGUAGUGAUCCAAAAGAAUAUUGUACUCUUUUUCCUUCACUAGGGUUUUUUCCCAUGGGGUUUUUCCUAGUAAGGUUUUAAUGAGGCAUAUUUUUAUGAUCAUCCAAGGGGGAGUGUUAUAAAAUAUGAGAUUAUGUACCACUAUGGUAAUUUGUGGAUGAUCAUUCAUAAAUAUCUUUUGUAACUCUCUAUAAAAGGGAGAGACCCCUAAUGCAAUUCAAUAGAGCUUUUCUAUGCAUUCUAUUCUCUUCCUACAUUCUAAUUUCUCUUUCUUGUUUUUUUCUCCUUUCACUUUAUAAUUUUACAACAUAUUAUUAUUAUUAUUAUUAUUAUUAUUAGGAAAGUUGAGCUUUGGGCUUCACAUCCCAACAUAAUAGCAUUUUCAAAACCCAACAAUGGGAAAUAUGACAAUUAGCUUUUAAUAUGACAAGUUUUAUCAUUUUUGUGCACUCUAAGUCGACUCCAUCUUCUAUGCCCAAAUUGCCCCUCCGUUUCUCCAACUCAGCAUCAUCCCAACCUCCAUAUCACCUUUUCUUAUUUGGAAGCUUUUUCUCAUCUUUCUUCACUCCCGAAAACCCAAAAUCUCUCAUUUUAGUUUAGAAACCCAAAUCCAAAACCCCAAGAUGAUAUCAAAAUGCAUUUUUCGGCUCAUCUAAGAGCCAUAGGAGUCCAAGAGAAUAUGGAAAAAAUGAAAUAGAGCUCAGGUGGAGAGAGUAGGUACCCAAAAACCGAAACCCUAACCUCCAAAUGUGUCAUAGACUUGUAAAUCUGUGUCCAAGAUAGCUCUAUUAGCAAGAAAUAGCAUCAAACAUAUCUCCUAGACCAUUAAAUUGGCGAUGCCCUUGAAGAAUCAAAGGAAAUGAUGCAGAAAAUGAAGCAUAAGAGACUCUUAAUGUAUUGGGUCUCGACGAACCGGUCGACCGGUGACUGUACCUUAAGUACUACCUUAAUAGCCCUUAGGUACGACCUUAAUCUACCUUAGGUACUACCUUAACUGACUUUAGGUAGUAACCUUAGUUAAACUUAGGUAGUACUUGUGUGAAGCCUCAAAACUUCAUUUNNNNNNNNNNNNNNNNNNNNNNNNNNNNNNNNNNNNNNNNNNNNNNNNNNNNNNNNNNNNNNNNNNNNNNNNNNNNNNNNNNNNNNNNNNNNNNNNNNNNAGAAUGACGUGCUUUAAGGGUCACAAAUGAAGUAAGUAAUAUCCACAAAUAAAGUUUUGAGACUCCAAAUAGGUAGUACCAAAGUUUUACUCAGGUAGUACCUAAGGUCGAUUAAGGUAGUACCUUAAGGCUAUUAAGGUAGUACCUAAGGUACAGUCACCAAAAUACCAAAGUUGAACCAACUAAUCACACUAAUUAAUCACAAAAUAGCAUGCUCUAAAGGUCACAAAUGAAGUAAGUAAUAUCCAUAAAUGAAGUUUUGAGGCUUCACACAGGUAAUACCUAAGUUUAACUAAGGUAGUACCUAAGGUCAGUUAAGGUAGUACCUAAGGUGGAUUAAGGUCGUACCUAAGGGCUAUUAAGGUAGUACCUAAGGUACAAUCACUGGUCAAGGUCCGGUCAAGGUCCGGUCAAGGAUCAGUCGAUCGGUUCUUCGAGACCCAAUACUUUAAAAGUCUCUUGUGCUUCAUUUUCUACAUUGUUUCCUCUGAUUCUUCAAGGGCUUCGCUGAUUUAAUGGUCUAGGAGAGACAUUUGAUGCUAUUUCUUGCUAAUAGAGCUAUCUUGGACAUGGAUUUGCAAGUCUAAGACACAUUUGGAGGUUAGGGUUUCAGUUUUUUGGGUACCCACUCUCUCCACCCGAGCCCCAUUUUGUUUUUUUCUUGAUUCUCUUGAACUCCCAUGGUUCUUAGACGAGCCAGAAGACGUAUUUUGACAUCGCCUUGGAGUUUUGGAUUUGGGUUUCUGAACUGAAAUGAGAGAUUUUGGAUUUUCGAGAGUGAAAAAAAAUGAGAGAAAGCUUCCAAAUGAGAGAGGGUGAUAUGGAGGUUGGGAUGAUGCUGAGCUGGAGAAACAGAAGGGCAAUUUGGGUAUAGAAGAUGGAGCCGGCUCAGAGUGCACAAAAAUGAUAAAACUUUUCAUAUUAAAAGUUGAUUGUCAUAUUUCUCAUUAUUGGGUUUUGAAAAUGCUAUUAUGUUGGGAUGGGAAGCCCAAAGCACAACUUUCCCCUUAUUAUUAUUAUUAUAAAAGGAACAUUUUAUGGAAUAAUAUAUGAUUUAUUAAAAAAUACAUGUAUUUCAAAUUAUUUUUAAAUCAAAACCCAUUUUUCCCUAAACCCUAAAUAAAUUCAUAGAAUAAUUAUAUUCUUGUACUUUCAACAACAAACAAAGAAUUUGAGGAGAAAAAAAUGAAACAACUUUGUAAUGAGUGUGUAAACUAGGAGAUCAAAUCAUCUUUCGCAUUAGAUUUCCAUGAAUUAAUAUGCAGACAUGCAAAAUUAAAAAAUAAUAUAUAUAUAUAUAUCUAAAACACCUAAUUAAAGGAUAAAUUACUAUAUAUUCCAACAAAAUUCGCACAAAUAACAGGGGCAUAGGUGAAAUAAACACCAAAAUGAGAGAAAGAUAACAAAAUCCACUCCUAUGCCACCCCAUUAUCUGUUCCGAUAUAUAAAAGAUUAAAAAUGAUUAAAAAAAAAAUCAAACUCAACAAGAAAACCAUAUCUCAAGAACAAAAAAAAAAAAAAAGAAUUAAUUAUUAAAAUAAAAAAUAAAAAUAAAUAAAUAAACCUUUGGUGCUCAACAACCAAAUCAAACUAUCUCUCAAGAGACAAAAUAAGUAAGGGCAAAAUCACAAAAUAAAGAAAUGGUGAAGAAAAGGGGGUUUAGAUGUGCAUCACAAUGAUAGUAAACACAUACUUGAUAUAAAUACAUCAAUUUGAGCACAUUUCAUAGAUUUGAAGAAAGUAUUUCAUCCAUGGGAACUUGUGUGCCUAAAGAGGGUAGGUUUUUUAAGACACUAGACUAGAAGGUGGUUGUUGGAACGGCCACCAACCAUGGCAAGCCAUAGUUCAAAGCAAAAACCAGUGGAGAGGAGGUUCCAUGUCAGAGUCUUAGUGAAGAACAGGUGUGAGCCCAUGAAAUUUUCCUCACUUUUUUACUUAUUUUUCUUUAAUAUUUUCCUCAUUACUUUUUAGGAAGAAAAAUAAGGAAAAUGUUUUAAUAUUUUCUUUAGUAUUUUUAUUUAUAUUUUUUUCUCCUUUUAUUUUCUAUGUCAUCUAAACUAAGGAAAAUGAUCUUCCUUAGCAUCAUUUUUCCUUCUCCUAGCAUUUUUUGAGAACUAAGCAUGUUUUAUUGCUUUGUUAGAAAAUCAGAACAUGUUAUGAAAAGAACUCUCUCUUCCCCCUCUCUCUACAUAUAUGCAUAUAUGUAUAUAAUGCAAGCAUGUAAAAACCCAAAAAUGUAGGUCAUAGAGUGAAAGCAAAACCUCACCCCUAAUGCAAUGGUAUUAUAACAUAGAAAGUGAGCCAAGGCUAGUGGUGUCCAGCCUGGUUUAUUUAGGAUGACAUAUUAUUCAUAAAUUUUGAGGUCAAAAUUAUUCCACACCGUCUAUAGGAAAAAUUACUUAGUCCCACAAGGUUGCAUUGGUGUCAAAGUUCAUUUUAGGCCACGAAAAUGAAUUCCCAACCCAUGAAUUAGAAAAUAUAUCAUGUUAUCAACCUUGUUAGGACAAAGUAGCAGUGAUUUCCCAAUCUGCAUUUCUAUUCUUGGAUUUUCUUAUAGUUGAAAACCAUUUCCUAAUAAAGAAAGUAGCUAUCUCAAUUAUGGUCCAAUCUUAGAAAACAAACAACAUGAUUAUUCUCACACAUACAUAAUUAUGAAUUUUAACUAUGAGAGAUUCAAUUCACAAGUGAAGAUGAAAGAUAAUCAUAAAGAAGCAAAACUUUGUUAUAGUGAAAAGAAAAUUUUAAUUCAUUUUUCAAUGAAAAUAAUUCAAUUUGUGACUAAUAAAAUGGAAUGUUACAAUUUCCUUUAACAAAAAACUUAUCUUAACACCCAUCAGAUACUGGUCUUCCCAUAGAUUGGUCUCACAAAACUUUUGAUUAUUAUAUCUGCAACCUGUUCAAAUGUGGAAGCAUUAAACAUACUAAUUUGUCUCUCUAUCUUCUCCUUGAUAAAAUGUCUAUCUACCUCAAUAUGUUUGAUCUGGUCAUGAUGCACUAGAUUAUGAGAAAUGCUUAUAUUGUUGCCUUGUUAUCACGAUAGAGUUUCAUGGGUCCCUUAUUAGCUACCUUGAUCUCUUCUAAUAACAUUUUCAACCAUAGUAACUCACAUAUCCCUUAAGCUACUGCCUUAAACUCAGCUUCAGCACUGCUUCUAGCAACAAUUGAUUGUUUCUUGCUCCUUCAUGUCACCAAGUUUCCCUAAACAAAAGUACAAUAUUUAGACAAACUUUCUAUCAUCUAUAGCCCCAACCCAAUCUGCAUCAAUAAAAGCUUCUACAUUUCUUGAUGAGGAUAAAUCUUUAAGAUAUACAUCAAGAAAGAGAAUUUGUAUUAGUUGCAAUUAAAGUGAGGUUAGUAUUACUUGGAAUUAAAUUAGGAUUAAUAAUUAUUAUAGUCAAAUUAGGACUAGCUUAUUAGGUUACAACAUAAUUAGAAUUAGAGUCACAAUAGUUUAUUAAAAUCUUAGUAGACUUUGGAUUUCUUGAAGAAACCUAUAAAUAAGGCUAAUCAAUGUAAAUCAAAAGAAUGAAUUAAUUGAUAUUAAUAAUAUUAUGCUUUAUUCAUUGCAAGUGUUACAAGCCUUAAUGGUAAGACUCCAUUGAUUUUAUUCUAGAUGAGACUCUUAGAAGACCUUAGUGAGACUCUAAGGUUUCCAUUUUUUCUUUGUUAUUUUUUUCUCUCUCUAUUUUUUUCUUUUAUUUUUUCUCUAACAUAAAUUUUAUUCUUUUUUCCUUUCCUUACACCCUAAAAAUAAAAACUCUAACCCACCUACUUUGAAUGUAGGCAACCAUCCUAAGGUUGUCCUACAUUACUUCUCUUAGAGCCUUUAUUGAAAAACAACCAUUUGUCUAUUUUUCCUUUCAAGUACCUCAGUGUCCUAUAAACAACAUCCAAAUGUUCUUCACAUGGUGAAUGCAUGAACUGACUAACAAUGUUGACUGCAAAUGCAAUGUCAAGCCGAGUAUGUGAUAGGCCUAUAAGUUUAACUACUUAUCGUUGAUAUCUACUUCUAUCAAUUAGAACUCCAUAUGUGAAUCUUCCCAAUUUAUUAUUGGGUUCCAUUGGAGUUUCAACAAGUCAACAACCCAAUAAACCUAUCUCCGUUAGUAGGUCAAGUAUAUACUUCUUCUGUGACACUAAAAAGCUAGUUUUGUUUCUAAACACUUCCAUCUCUAGAAAGUAUUUCAAUUGCCCCAAAUCUUGUAUAUCAAAUUCAUUUGUAAGAUUUUUCGUCAAUCUAAUCAUUUCAUCUACAUCAUCCCCAAUCAAAAUAAUAUCAUCAAGAUAAACAAUAAGCAUUGUCACCUUGUUACCCAAAUGCUUCAAGAACAAGGUAUGGAUCAAAUUAUGCUUGUUUAUAUCCUUAUUGUCACACUACUCUUGUAAAGCUAUCAAGCCAAGCUUGAGGUGAUUGCUCCAAUCCAUACAAAGAUUUUAACUUAUAAACUCUCCCAAGAUAUUUCUCUCUAUCAAAACCAAGCGGAAGUUCAAUGUAAAUUUCCUCUUCCAACUCACCAUUUCGAAAAGCAUUUUUAAUGUCUAAUUGUUACAAUUUCAAGUCUAGAUUUUCAAUUCCUUUGCCAAGUCAAAAUCUUAACCAGAACCUGAAAUAGGUAUGAGACCUCUUACUCUUUUGCACGAGACAAGGGACAUUGAUCUUUCUAUUACUAUGUCCAAUCAUAGACUUAACAUCUUAUUUCUUAUCAUGUCUCCUAUGAUCAUUUGUCUCCUAUUGUUCAUGUUUUUAUUACUAAUGUUUCAAAUAUUGAGAUUCCUAAGGAUAUUGAAAAAUCCUUGAAAGUUCCAAAAUGGAAACAAAUAGUUUUGGAAGAGAAGUUAGCUUUUGAGAAGAAUGAAACAUGGGAAAUUGUGAAAAAACUAGAAGAAAAAACUCUAGUUGGAUGUAAAUGGGUAUUUAUUGUUAAGUAUAACUCAAAUGGUGAGAUUGAUCAUUACAAAGCCAUAUUGGUAUCAAAAGGAUUUACACAGACUUAACGAUAUUGAUUAUUAGGAGACAUUUGCUCUGAUUAAAGGCAAAAAAAACUCUCAAGAACAAAUGAGUUUAUAGAUUGAAAACUGAAAAUAAUAGCUCACAACAAAGAUACAAGGCGCGGUUAGUUAUAAAAGGGUUUGGUAAAAAAAAGGUGUUGACUUUCAAGAAAUAUUUUCUCCAGUAAUGACAAUGUCCUCUAUCAAAGUUGUUCUUGGCUUAGCUACCCGCUUGAAUUUGGAGAUUGAACAACUAGAUGUUAAAACUGUGUUUCUUCAUGGUGAUUUGGAAGAAGAAAUUUAUUGGAGUAACUAAAAGGACUCAAAGUUAAAGGUAAGGAGAAUUUUGUCUGCAAGCUUAGAAAAAGCUUAUAUGGGCUCAAACAUGCACCUAGGCAAUGGUAUAAGAAGUUUGAUUCUUUUAUGAUCAAUCAUGGGUAUAGUAGAACUACUCCAGACCAUUGUGUGUUUACAAAAAGGUUUUCAGAUGAUGAUUUCAUUAUUCUCCUACUUUAUGUUGAUGACAUGUUGAUCAUUGGCCAUGAUGCUAGAAAAAUAAAGAGAGAACUAAGCAAGUAUUUUGCAAUGAAAGACUUAGGAUCUGUUAAACAAAUACUUGGCAUGAAGAUCUUCAGUGAUAGGAAGAAUGGGAAGCUUUAUGUCACAAGAUGCUUCAAAUGACCCUCCCCAUGGGCUUAUAUAGGAGGAGGGAAGCUUCUGGAGACUCCUAGAGCCAUCUACACUAAGCCAUUGGUGGGAAGAGUGUGGAAGGUUCUAGAAAUGCCUAGAGAUAUCCACACAUCUCUACACUAUGGUGGAAGGCAUGAGAGGAGUCCAAGGCUUUCUAGAGACUUCUAGGAAUCUCUUGUAUAACCUUAUACAUAGGCUUGUAUCUAGAAUAAUGUAGGACAUUCUAGAAUAUACCUGAGUUGUAAGGAACCCUCCAAGGUUCCAGAGAGUUCCAUUGGUGCCUAUAAAUAGGUGAGGGCCUCAUUUGGCCAAGGUACCAAGCAAGUGAGCUUCCAAGCACUUGUAAAGGCUUUCUUGAGUUAAUAAGAGCUUCCAUUCUUUAAAGAGUUGCCUACUAAGCUUCUUAAGCUUUUGAGUCACGAGUGUCUUAGCCUAGCAAGCUAAGCAUUGGGGAGCAAGGCUGACUUAGCAAGAUCAAGUGUCUUGACUUGCCUAAGUGCCGCACGAGCUUAAUGAACGACUAAGUCCGUGACAUUUAGCUAUCUUAAGAAGCUUACAUUGAAAAGAUUCUUGAAAGAUUUAAUAUGAGCAAAGCUAAAACAGUUAGUUCUCCACUUGCAGGUCAUUUCAAGCUUACUUCCAAGUAAUGUCCAACAAGUGAGAAAGAAAAUGAAGAAAUGAGCGAAAUGUCUUAUUGGUCUGUUAUUGGCAGUUUGAUGUAUGCAAUGGUUUAUACAAGACCAAAUAUUGCUCAUGUAGUUGGAGUUGUCGGUCGAUUUCUCUCUAAUCCUGGGAAUGGACAUUAGACAAUUGUGAAAUGGAUACUGAGAUAUCUAAGAGGUACUUCUAAGACAUGCUUGUGUUUUGGCAGCAAUAAACCUAUUUUAAAAGGGUAUUCAGAUGCAAACAUGGCUAGUGAUCUUGAUUCUAGGAACUCCACUUUAGGAUUCUUGAUGACCUUUGUAGGGAGAGCAGUUUCUUGGCAAUCUAAAUUACAGAAAUAUGUUGAUUUGUCAACCACGGAAGCAGAAUAUAUAGCGGUGACAGAAGCAUGCAAAGAAGCUUUGUGGAUGAUAAAAUUCUUACAAAAAUUGAGCAUGCAACAAGAAAAAUAUAUUAUUCAUUGUGACAAUCAGAGUGUUAUUCACUUCUCCAAGGACUCGAGAUUCCAUUCAAGAUCUAAGCAUAAAGAUGCCAAAUAUCACUGGAUUUGUGAUGUGCUUGAGUUGAAAGAUUUGCACUUAGAAAAUGUGCAUACUAGUGAGAAUUGAUCAAAUAUGUUCACAUAGUCUUUGCCUAAGGAGAAGCUUGAAGCUUAUAGACAAAGAAUGGGCUUGCUAGAGCCCACCAUGUGAAGCAGAAAAUGAGAUUUGUUGGGUUUGCCUCUCCAUUGUGGGUUGGACCAAUGGAAGGCUUUUGGCCCAAAAGAAAUUAUAUAUAUAUAUAUAUAUAUAUAUAUAUAUAUAAAGUGGCAAAAUUUAAAAAGUGAUGUAGUAAGAAGUUUGGAGAAAAGAAAUAGAGAGAAAGUUAGGGUUUUUAGGGCAUUGAUUGAAGAUCAAAGGGCAAACUUUGUUCGUUUUGGCUCAAAUUUCAUAUGGUGAAUCCUUGCAACAAGCUCUACAAAUUCAACAGUUCAAAUCUUGAUUUAUCCUCUCUAUGAUACUUUCUUGAAAAACCCACGUUGGUGAGAUCUAGACUUUUCUUUGUUGAAAUCCAUGUAGCAGAUGGUGAUAUAGAUGUUGGUUAGCCAAGAAAUCCAAUUCUUGAUGUUGUUGUGAGCCUCUAGUUAUUUUAGAGAGAAUUACUAUGAACCCAUUAUUAUUAUUGGUGAUAGUGGGAGUUUGACUAUGAUCCCAUGGUUUUUUCCCGUAUUGGGUUUCCACGUAAAAUUUCUUGGUGUUCUCUUGGAUUGUUUUAUUGUCUGUGGUGCUUUCAUUAAUAUUUAUUUUAUUACUCUUAUGGAUAUUUGAUGAAAAUCCUAUUUUAGGCACACAAAGAAAGGAAAAUAAUUAUUUGUUGUGUGUUGUUUUUCUGGUUUUUCCCAACAGGAAAGACCCUAAAUAUCACUAUGAAUCAUCAAAAAAGGUUUAGAAGAUUUGUAUGGCUAAGCAUUAAAAGUAGCAUGAUGAUGUUUGGUUAACUGACACACUUCACAUUGAAAAUUAAUAAGUUUUUUAUUGUGAAACAAAUCUAGAAACAAGCGUUUUAAAUAAAGAAAAUUUGGAUAACCUAACCGUCUAUGCCAUAACAUCAUUUUUUCACUAUUUGAAAGAAGAAAAAAAAUGACAACUAGCAAUUAGAGAUUGUUUAAUCACACCGAAAUCCUUUCAAAAUAGUAGUCUUUCACUAUUUUGGUAUCAUAGUUCAAUUAAAAAUAUAUAUAUAUAAAAUAGUGAAUUAGUGAUUCAAUAACAUAUGAAUAUUGCAAUCUCAGCAUUUUAUGUGUGGUUAAAUAUGAACUACAAAAUCAAAAUGCGAGGAAUAACAUUUAAAUAUAAAAACAUGGGAUUAUGAGUCUUUCACUCACAUUUUCAUAUCUUUUUUAUAUUUUCUAUUUUAUUUACUUUAUUAGUUUAUUUCCAUUUUUAUUUUUAUUUUUUUUAACUUUAUGAUUUUUAAAAUUUAUAAUUUUAAUUUAAAAUAAUGAAAAUAUUAUGAUUUUCUAAAAACAUUGUGUUCCUCAAAAUUUAUUAUUUUAUUUUUUAAAAUUAUUUUCAAUUUUAAUAAUAUAUAAAAUAUAUAUUUAUAACGUCAUCAAUUCAACCUAUGCUCAAUAGCCCGUCCAACAAAUGAACUAUGAAUUGUUAACUUUUUCAGUUCAAUAAUCAGUCCUUAAAACAUUGGCUAGUUUAAGUUUAGAACCGGUGAGAUAUCCUAGCUUUCCCCACCCACAAAUGACCAUCUUUAUCAAGGUGGACCAUUGGAGAAAAUUUUUUCCAUUGAGCUUGUGGGACGUGAUUUGAAGGGAGGCUAAAGUAGGAUCGGAAGUUGUUGCGGUAGCAAUGGUGGAGGUUGACUGGACAGUUUAUUAUGAAACUUUCGAGUCUCCUCCUGCUACUCCGAUAAGGGCCUUUUUAUACAUCCUUUCUCUACUAUUCCACUCUAAUACCAUGAAAACAGAAAUAGAGAAAAGAUGGGGAGGCUUCAACUAUAAUUCUUAUUGAAUCAAGAGACUAAAUUACAUGGCCUUUUAUAGACUAGGCUAAGCACAAUCAGAAAACCUAACUCCAACCUAAAAGAUAAAAAAAUAAUAAUAAAUAAAUAAAUAAAUAAUAAAAAAUAAAAACCAAAUAAAAGAUAAAUAUUAACAUUAUCUUCUAAAUAUAUAAAAGAUAAAUAUAUAGAAAAUAAAUAUUCUAGAAUAUCAACAUUUUCCUUACUCCUCCCCUAUGUUUUUCUCAUUAUUUUUCUUCUUUUAGGUAAAAACUAAGGAAGAUGUUUUAUUUUUAUUUUUUAAAUAUUUUUCUUUCUAUUUUUGCACUUUCCAAUUUCAAUAUCACCCAAAUUACAAAAAAAUGACUUUAGGAUUAUUUGAUUAAUUAAAAUAAUGAAAUAAUCCCAAAUUUAUACUCUAAUUCUAUAAAUUUUUCAACUUGAAAAAUGUUCCCUUUUUCCAACUUAAAAAAUGCUCUAUUUUUUUUUAUAUAAAAAUAUCCUUAUUGUUCUAAUAAAAAUAACAUUUUCUUUUAAAGCUCACAUAAAAUAAUCAAAAUAUUAAAGGAUAUUUCUACCAAAACUAGGUUAUUUUUCAACCUCAAAUAAAUUUGGGAUCAUUUCAUUACUUUUAAUCAAACAGUUCAUUGUUUUUCUACCAUUUCUUUUGCUUUCACAUGUUUCAAGAUCCAAACACAUCUUAGCCCUAAUGCAGUGGUAUCAUAAAAUAGACAGAGUAAAAGUCCAGCCUGGUUUUAUGUGGGACACAACACACAAUUUGAUAAAUUUUGAGGUAAUGAGGUUGCAUGGGUGUCAGUUUAUUUUAGGCCAUCAAAAUGAAUUCCCAGCCCAUGAAUUAGGAAAUGUACCAUGUUGUCAACCUUAUCAGAAGAGAGUAGGUGUGAUUUUCUUACCUGCAUGUCUAUAUCUGGAUUUUCUUGCAUUAGAAAAGCAUUUUCCUGAUAAGGAAAGUAUGGCCCUUAAUGAUGGGGUAUCCAAGAAAGCAAGCAACAGGAUUAAUUCCAGAGUCAUUUUAAGGAAAUAAGAAUUUUCCUUAAUUAUUCUCAAGUCAAAUCGGUUUUCAAUCCUUCUCACACAUCCCAAAUUGUGAAUUUUUAACCAUGAGAGAUUCCAUUCACAAGAGAGGAUCAAAGACAAUUAUAAAGAAAGGAUAAUAUUAAAUUUUCCUUCAAUGAAUAUAAUUCAAUUUGCAAUCAAUAAAAUAGAAUGUACAGAAAAAAGAAAUACCAACACUGCCUCAUGUAUUACAAUCUGUCACGUUAAGAACCAUUGCCUAAAAAAUCAUUGUAAAGCAUACAUAUAGAUAUAUGAAUAAGUUUGUAGAACACAUCACAGGGGAAAAAUAUGGCAGAACCUCAAGAUGGAGUCACUCAGCCAAAGCCCCAAGAGCAGCAACACUUGGACAUUGAAGCUACUGGUAUGCAUUUCUCAAGAAAAUAGUCCUUUUUUUCCUUUUUCCAAUGAAGAUGAACCUGAAAGUAUCAAUAAACAAGUUGAAUUGUUUUUGUACAUCCAAGAGUAGAAUGAUCAAAGAAGUGAAGUUAAGGAAGCAGGGAUACUAACCAUGUUGUGAUUGGUUGAAGCAGGGGAUGAAGAGGUUAAUGAUUGUCCCAUAGAGCAAGUGAGGCUCACAGUUCCAAUCACAGAUGAUCCAACAGAACCUGUUCUGACAUUCAGGACAUGGGUGCUUGGUGUAGCAUCCUGUGUGAUUCUGUCCUUUGUGAACCAAUUCUUUGGUUAUCGCAGUAAUCAACUCAGCAUUUCAUCAGUCUCAGCACAGAUAGUUACCCUGCCACUAGGGAAGUUCAUGGCUGCAACACUCCCAGAGAAACCGAUCAAAGUCCCAUGCACAAAGUGGUCGUUUUCCCUGAAUCCAGGGCCUUUUAAUAUCAAGGAGCAUGUGUUGAUCACCAUGUUUGCCAACUCUGGAUCGGGUGGUGUUUAUGCAGUUGGUAUCCUUACAAUUGUCAAGGCAUUCUACAAAAGGAGUCUCAGCCCAGGAGCAGGAUACUUGCUAGUACAAACCACUCAGGUAGGUUUGGCCUUUUUUACAGUCAAUUCAAUCUCUCCCUUUGAACCAUCUAGUCUGAUCAUUGAUGACCCUGGUUUGAAAGCCAGAGGACUUUCUUUCAUCAUUGAGGAUUUUUGUUUUCUAUACAGCUGAUCCAACAUAAUAUCACAUUCACCAUCAUUUUUGUAUUCUUUCGUAGGUGGACAUUGUUCAAUUAGUUAAUUCUAUGAUGCUUAUGUUUUACAUAUAUUACUUAUUUUGUAGUAUAUGGUUUCCACCAAUUAAUUUGAUAUUUUAAUUUCUCUUGUUGACCUUCAUAGUUUCUCUUCUUCUAUUGAAUUCAGUUGCUUGGCUAUGGAUGGGCUGGCCUGUUCAGAAAAUACCUAGUGGACUCCCCCUAUAUGUGGUGGCCAUCAAAUCUAGUCCAAGUCUCUCUCUUCAGGUUCAUCUCCCUCUCCCUCUCCCUCUCCCUCUCCCUCACCCUCUCCCUCUCUUUCAUUCUCAUGAAAAUGGUUUUUGUUAAAUUGCAGGGCAUUGCAUGAAAAAGAAAAAAGAAGCAAAGGAGGACUCACUAGGCUGCAAUUCUUUCUCAUUGUGUUCAUUUCAAGCUUUGCCUACUACCUGGUCCCAAACUACUUGUUUCCUUCCAUCGGUACCGUCUCCAUUAUUUGUUUGAUUUGGAAGAACUCAAUCACUGCCCAACAGAUUGGUUCAGGCCUCUAUGGCAUGGGCCUUGGAUCAUUCG
rnacentral:lncRNA from 1 species